CAAAAGCUCAAACAGGAAAGCAGCCUCCCUGACCUAAAUCAAUACCAGCCCUUUUGGAUGGAUGCAGGGUAGCAGUCAACCAGCAGUGACACAACCAGCCAUCAAGUGGAGAAUCUCUGGGAUUGCAAUCUAUUUCAGUAUCAGCCUGUGAACACUCCACUUUUGUUACCCAAAUGCUGCUGGUGGCUUUUCCCCCAAAAACAUUUUGUUCCCAUAAGCAGCAAUUUGGGUCUCUUAAGUGUACAUUUGUGUGGAUUAGCCUGUCGCAAGAGUAGUGCUCGUCCGCGUCAUGUUGGAAACAAGGGCACUGAAGUCUGCCUGCUUUUACAGUUGUUUCUUUCUGCGUGAUGCUAUGCAGCUAGAAGGGGUUAUACUGACAACAAAGGAAGAAGCACAAAACACCACUAUCUUCUGGGUUGUUCUUUCAGGGGGGAAAAAAGACAGAACUCUUCUUCAGUGCAAUAUGAUCUUUUUGUCUUUUGCUCUUUCUUUUUGUCUUUGUCUUUUUAAAAAACACCUAUUCAAAGAUUCUGAGAGGCAUCGCUGUGGAUGUGGGCUUUUAAAAGGCUAUAGGGGAAAAGACAGCUCAUGGAGAUCUGCGAUUUGAGCCAAGGAACACAUCUUUUGCAUUCUUGCUGAUUUGAAAUACUCAGGGGUUUUCUCCCCCCGAAGAGGAAGCCCUAAGGGACAAGUUCAGUAACUAAAAAAGCGACCAUAGAUAAAAGAAAUAAAAAUGACAAGCGUAAUGGAGGCUCAGCAGAAGAAACUGUCAGAGAAAUCAGUGCUUGGAUGGCAAUCUUACCCAGUCUGAAUAAUUAUGAAUAAUUCAUAGAACAAAAUUACUCUGCUUUCACCUUUUCCACUUAAAAUGGCAUGAUGUGAAUCGCUAAUAAAUUUACAAGAUAAAAUAUGAUGCCAAUUUGAAUUUGAAGAGCUUUUUGCAGCCAGAUGCUACAUUCUGCUUUUUUUAUACCUUUCACAAUUAUCCUGUGAAAACCUCACUUCAUCACGAAACACCAUUACCGAUGAAAAUUACUGUGAUUACAAUGGCAACAAUAGAAUGCCAUCAAACAAUUUCUAAUUUACCUAAUUUACAAAGGAUGACUGCACUGGUUUUCAUGCCCAGGUCUCCUCGUCAUGCCUGGCACCUUGGAUCCAUAUCAGAAAGAAACGCAAGUGGCUUGGUAAUGUGGAUCGUGUUCAGCACCGUUAACUUCAAGAGCCCAGGAAAAAAUGAGCAGUCUGUUAAUCAUGGUUAUAGCCAUAUAUGUUACAGGCUUGUUUUCCAGCAUUCUUGAUGGUUUUUGUUUAGCUCCUGGGCAUAGGAUGGCACUCUGUUACAGGGUCAUCUGCUUUGAAGUUGAAAAAGCUUUUCUCUGCCACUGACACUUAGUUCAGUCAGAAAAUGGGUGCGGUUUCGAAAGCUGAAUGAUAACCUUCCACACCACCAAAAUCUCUGCUCAAAAGACUUUCCCAGUCAGCCCCUUCCAGUAGAUUGAAAUAUGGUUGUGGGAGAGCCCAUAGACUCUUGCAGGAUAUGAUCUCUGUCCAUCCUCCAGUCUUCCAGGAAACCCUAGAGGAGGAAAGAAGGGGAAAGUCCAAACCCAGACUUGAAAGCCAACGGCAAAUACCAUCCAGAAGAGUCAGAGUUUUGAUGAGCUCUUGCAACUCUAGCAGAGAGAUGCCUAAACAUGGUUUCAGUAAGAACUACUUGAAAGCUCUUCUGUCUAGAAAACUGAGAAGCAUCUGAAAAAGCCAAUGUGACUGCACAACAAACUCAAGGAAGAAGUGAAAAGAAAAAGGAGGAACAGG